GAUGAACGCUGGCGGCGUGCCUAAUACAUGCAAGUCGAGCGAACAGACGAGGAGCUUGCUCCUCUGACGUUAGCGGCGGACGGGUGAGUAACACGUGGAUAACCUACCUAUAAGACUGGGAUAACUUCGGGAAACCGGAGCUAAUACCGGAUAACAUGUUGCACCGCAUGGUUCAACAGUGAAAGACGGUCUUGCUGUCACUUAUAGCUGGAUCCGCGCCGCAUUAGCUAGUUGGUAAGGUAACGGGUUACCAAGGCAACGAUGCGUAGACGACCUGAGAGGGUGGUCGGCCACAUUGGAACGUGAACGCGGUCAAGACUCCUACGGUAGGGAGCAGUAGGGAAUCGUCCGCAAUGGGCGAAAACCUGACGGAACAACGGCGAGUGAGUGGAGAAGGUGUCCGGAGCGUAAAACUCUGUUAUGAGUGAAAAACAAAUGUGUAAGUAACUAUGCACGUCUUGACGGUACCUAAUCAGAAAGCCACGGCUAACUACGUG
rnacentral:rRNA from 1 species